rnacentral:rRNA from 1 species
CCUACGGGAGGCAGCAGUAGGGAAUCUUCCGCAAUGGACGAAAGUCUGACGGAGCAACGCCGCGUGAACGAUGAAGGCCUUCGGGUCGUAAAGUUCUGUUGUUAGGGAAGAACAAGUGUUAGUUGAAUAAGCUGGCACCUUGACGGUACCUAACCAGAAAGCCACGGCUAACUACGUGCCAGCAGCCGCGGUAAUACGUAGGUGGCAAGCGUUGUCCGGAAUUAUUGGGCGUAAAGCGCGCGCAGGCGGUUUCUUAAGUCUGAUGUGAAAGCCCCCGGCUCAACCGGGGAGGGUCAUUGGAAACUGGGAAACUUGAGUGCAGAAGAGGAAAGUGGAAUUCCAAGUGUAGCGGUGAAAUGCGUAGAGAUUUGGAGGAACACCAGUGGCGAAGGCGACUUUCNGGUCUGUAACUGACGCUGAGGCGCGAAAGCGUGGGGAGCAAACGAGGAUUAGACUACCCGUGGUAGUCCACGCUGUAAACGNUGAGUGACUAAGUGUUAGAGGGUUUCCGCCUUUAGNGCUGAAGUUAACGNAUUAAGCACUCCGCUGGGGAAUCGGUCGCAAGACUGAAACUUAAGGAAUUGACGGNUGAGAGNGCGAGACGACGACGAGGGAGAGG